ensembl:lncRNA
AGUGCUGAGGGAAAAUCAGAGGGUUUCAUGUACUCAGAGGAAAAGUGUGGAACUAUAAAUGCUAACUCGGUAACUCCCCAGGAAUGAGCAUGUGCCAUGCUGAGACUGAAUGCAUCAUUAGCAAAUCCCUGAGGCAGAUCUCUAUUUCAGACUGCACAGUAUAACAGCUCCAGGGAACGUACAGAGACACCGAGGAUGCUGAUAAUUUCACAGUUUCUGCUUCCCUGUGAGGCAGAAAAUAGAAAAGCUAUGAAGCUCUUUCCCAGGAACACAAAAGUAAUGUUUUCCAGGGCGAUCAAAAGCUGGAGAAGAUAGGUUUGUUGUCUGUAAACUGAGAGAAAAGGGAACACUAUCGUCUGCUGCCAUCGCUGCAAGAGACAUCACUCAGCUGAUCAAGCAAGCUGAAGCAAUACAGCUGGCCCCUUGCAGAGGAGACGCUGAGGGAUGCAAAGCUGGCUUGGGCGAACGGAGAUCUCAGGGUCACGUACAGCCCACAGGGGAUUCACUCUGUGUCAGUGUCUCCUGCAGCAGCACAGGCUAUCGAUGCACGUCACACGUCUGCCCUUCAUCGCCAGCAACCCCUGGGAAAGACUUUGAGACAAGGUUACAAAUCCAAACUGCCCAGCUGACUCAAGCUAGGAGCCUCCAAUUUAUCCACGGGCUUCUUCUGGCACAGAACCCACACGUCGUGCAAAGGACAGCUGUGAGUUCAUGGCGUUGUGCAGAGCUCUGCUCAUCCACCACUGACUUGAUCUUGUGAUUUUUGGAGCACGCUGUGGACGUGCAGCAAUGCAUUCUUAGUACUGAGAAGAAACUUCAAGAAAUGGAUAUCUGGCAAGUACUUAAAGUCAGUUCUGAAGUGAUGCUAGAAAUACCACAUUUCUGGUCAGGCCUAUUACUGCAACAUCAAUGAUGCCUUUGUUCCUCGGUGCUUUUAUCCCUUACCCAAACAGCUCAUGAGAUGGCAGAUUGACUGGGAGCCCAAAAUUGCCAGGAGGGCAGUAGCUGUAAGGAUACCAAAUGUUGCCAGCCCUCUUCAAAAGAAAUUACCUUCUGACAAAUAACCUAUUCCUGACACGGCGUGAGCCUGAUAGCAUCACAGUUGACAAUAGAAGGUAGCACUGGUACAGAUUUAAACAUCUCCUCUUAAAAGCAGUUUGUAAUCUUGGCAUAGUUAAUAACUGCAGCACUCCGUGAAGUAAAUACUCAUUAGCCCCUGUUCUAACAACGUGGAGUGGUGUGGCUCUGUGUCAUCAGUGACUCAGCCACACAGGGUCAGUUUCAGUUUGGGGAGCUUCUUCUUUACAGCCCCAUUGCUCUUUUAGGAAAUCCGGAAUGGUGGGCCCCAACCAGGCCUUGGCACCCCCUGUUACAUGGGGCCAGAGGAAAUGAUGCCAUUUCAAAUACAUUCCUGAGGGCACCAAGUGGGGUACAGUCUGAGGACACAGGUUGUCCUGAUAUGUCCUCCUGGUCCUACCAGACACACCUGGUGGUAUCUUGGGCACUGGUUUUGAAGCUUUUUAUAUAGGAUAUGGCACGGUCUCAAAACACUGCUGUACAGUAGCAAGCCAUGCUACAGACCCCUUCCCUCCACAACAAAGUCCCUGUCUGACUCCACCCCCAGCUCAGAUAUUACUGCGUGGCAGACAUUUCCCAAGCAGUCAGACAUUAAUGUAACCCACAGCGAGCUGUUGUAUGUGCACAAGCUGCUGAUACAGGGAGUGAGGGAUUUCGUAAGGCCCGAGGAAUAAGAGCAGUGAUUAAACACAAUUCUCCUUAGUGCACCUAAGCAUAAUAGUCUCUUGAUGUUGGCAUCUCCUUUUGAAAUGCUAAUGGCCUUCUUCUGGUUAGCUCUUUAGGAUCAGCGAGUAAAGAGGCAUUAGGAAAUAAAAGUACCAUUCGUGUUGAUAUGAAAGAGUUGUUCUACCCUACAAUGCAACUGCAAAUGGCACAAAGGAGUUUUAUGUUUGUUGUCUCCCUGCAG